rnacentral:tRNA from 1 species
GACCUCGUGGCGCAAUGGAAGCGCGUCGGGUUUCCGGAGCCGAAGGUUACGGGUUCAAGUCCCGCCAGGGUUA